rnacentral:rRNA from 1 species
AUUGAACGCUGGCGGCAUGCCUUACACAUGCAAGUCGAACGGCAGCACGGGGGCAACCCUGGUGGCGAGUGGCGAACGGGUGAGUAAUGCAUCGGAACGUGCCCAGUAGUGGGGGACAACCAGUCGAAAGAUUGGCUAAUACCGCAUACGACCUAUGGGUGAAAGCGGGGGACCGUAAGGCCUCGCGCUAUUGGAGCGGCCGAUGUCUGAUUAGCUAGUUGGUGAGGUAAAGGCUCACCAAGGCGACGAUCAGUAGCUGGUCUGAGAGGACGACCAGCCACACUGGGACUGAGACACGGCCCAGACUCCUACGGGAGGCAGCAGUGGGGAAUUUUGGACAAUGGGCGCAAGCCUGAUCCAGCCAUGCCGCGUGCGGGAAGAAGGCCAUCGGGUUGUAAACCGCUUUUGGCAGGAACGAAACGGCGACUCUUAAUACGGGUCGUUAAUGACGGUACCUGCAGAAUAAGCACCGGCUAACUACGUGCCAGCAGCCGCCGCAGUAA